GGGUUGUCCCCAUUGCCCAAUAUUCCCCACUGGUGCCUCCCGUAAGAGNCUGGGCCGUGUCUCAAUACCAAGGUGGCUGAUCGUCCUCUUAGACCAGCUAUGGAUUGCCACCUUGGUGAGCCAUUACCUCACCAACAAGCUAAUCCAACGCAGGCUCAUCUAAUAGCGCGAGGUCCGAAGAUCCCCCGCUUUCCCCCGUAGGGCGUAUGCGGUAUUAGCUCGAGUUUCCCCGAGUUGUCCCCCACUAUUAGGCAGAUUCCUACGCGUUACUCACCCGUCCGCCACUCGNCACCAAGAGAGCAAGCUCUCUCGUGCUGCCGUUCGACUUGCAUGUGUUAAGCAUACCGCCAGCGUUCAAUCUGAGCCAGGAUCAAA
rnacentral:rRNA from 1 species